rnacentral:rRNA from 1 species
CCUACGGGAGGCAGCAGUGGGGAAUAUUGGACAAUGGGGGCAACCCUGAUCCAGCCAUGCCGCGUGUGUGAAGAAGGCCCUCGGGUUGUAAAGCACUUUCAGUGAGGAAGAACGCCUGGUGGUUAAUACCCAUCAGGAAAGACAUCACUCACAGAAGAAGCACCGGCUAACUCCGUGCCAGCAGCCGCGGUAAUACGGAGGGUGCGAGCGUUAAUCGGAAUUACUGGGCGUAAAGCGCGCGUAGGUGGCUUGAUAAGCCGGUUGUGAAAGCCCCGGGCUCAACCUGGGAACGGCAUCCGGAACUGUCAAGCUAGAGUGCAGGAGAGGAAGGUAGAAUUCCCGGUGUAGCGGUGAAAUGCGUAGAGAUCGGGAGGAAUACCAGUGGCGAAGGCGGCCUUCUGGACUGAGACUGACACUGAGGUGCGAAAGCGUGGGUAGCAAACAGGAUUAGAUACCCUUGUAGUC